GCCUCCUUAGCAUAGCGGUAGUGCACAGCCUUGGUAAGGCUGAGGUCCCGAGUUCAAAUCUCGGAGGAGGCU
rnacentral:tRNA from 1 species